UACGAAGGGGGCUAGCGUUGUUCGGAAUUACUGGGCGUAAAGCGCACGUAGGCGGGUUGUUAAGUCAGGGGUGAAAUCCUGGAGCUCAACUCCAGAACUGCCUUUGAUACUGGCAACCUAGAGACUGGAAGAGGUUAGUGGCAUUCCCAGUGUAGAGGUGAAAUUCGUAGAUAUUCGCAAGAACACCAGUGGCGAAGGCGGCUCACUGGCCCGGUACUGACGCUGAGGUGCGAAAGCGUGGGGAGCGAACGAGGA
rnacentral:rRNA from 1 species